GAUGUACUCCCUCCGUCCCAAAAUUCUUGUCUUAGAUUUGUCUAAAUACGGAUGUAUCUAGUUACAUUUUAGUGUUAGAUACAUCCAUAUCUAGACAAAUUUAAGACAAGAAUUUUGGGACGGAUGGAGUAUGAU
rnacentral:pre_miRNA from 1 species